GGAAGGUUGGCAGAGUUGGUCUAUUGCGGUUGCCUGCUAAGCAACAGGGGCUUAAUGUCCCACAAAGGUUCGAAUCCUUUACCUUCCGCCA
rnacentral:tRNA from 1 species